AUUGAACGCUGGCGGCAGGCCUAACACAUGCAAGUCGAGCGGAAGAAGGGAGCUUGCUCCUGGAUUCAGCGGCGGACGGGUGAGUAAUGCCUAGGAAUCUGCCUGGUAGUGGGGGAUAACGUCCGGAAACGGGCGCUAAUACCGCAUACGUCCUGAGGGAGAAAGUGGGGGAUCUUCGGACCUCACGCUAUCAGAUGAGCCUAGGUCGGAUUAGCUAGUUGGUGGGGUAAAGGCCUACCAAGGCGACGAUCCGUCACUGGUCUGAGAGGAUGAUCAGUCACACUGGAACUGAGACACGGUCCAGACUCCUACGGGAGGCAGCAGUGGGGAAUAUUGGACAAUGGGCGAAAGCCUGAUCCAGCCAUGCCGCGUGUGUGAAGAAGGUCUUCGGAUUGUAAAGCACUUUAAGUUGGGAGGAAGGGCAGUAAGUUAAUACCUUGCUGUUUUGACGUUACCAACAGAAUAAGCACCGGCUAACUUCGUG
rnacentral:rRNA from 1 species